CGUAGGGUGCAAGCGUUAAUCGGAAUUACUGGGCGUAAAGCGUGCGCAGGCGGUUUCGUAAGUCUGUCGUGAAAUCCCCGGGCUUAACCUGGGAAUGGCGAUGGAGACUGCGAGGCUAGAGUUUGGCAGAGGGGGGUAGAAUUCCACGUGUAGCAGUGAAAUGCGUAGAGAUGUGGAGGAACACCGAUGGCGAAGGCAGCCCCCUGGGUCAAAACUGACGCUCAUGCACGAAAGCGUGGGGAGCAAACAGGAUUAGAUACCCUGGUAGUCCACGCCCUAAACGAUGUCUACUAGUUGUUGGGUCUUAAUUGACUUAGUAACGCAGCUAACGCGUGAAGUAGACCGCCUGGGGAGUACGGUCGCAAGAUUA
rnacentral:rRNA from 1 species